UCCUUCGUGGUGUAGUGGUCAGCACGCUCGACGCGUAACCGAGAGGUCCGUGGUUCAAUUCCAGGCGAAGGCG
rfam:Stegodyphus mimosarum contig19524, whole genome shotgun sequence.